rnacentral:lncRNA from 1 species
AUGGGAAGCUCAUCUCAGAGACCUCAGUUAGCUCUUUCUUUUCUGAUUUUAUUAUUUUUUUCUAAUUCAAGGGAUUUCUUUUGCACAAGCAACUAUGUGAUAUGUGUUGAAACUCCUUUACCUGUGUGUAAAUGCAGACAAAACCAGGGAAGGAGGCCUGAAAGCAGAAGAGCAAAGUUCCCUCUGUGUUCUGGUAGCAUGAGCUGAUUGAUUUGGGAAAACCUUAAUAUCACGUGAAGAAAGAACUUGUGGAAAGUACUCUGAGAAAUCAAGAAACAAACCUGUUCAUUCCCCUGCUGUUCUGUUUCCAAAUAUUGUGCACUCUCAUUCCCAUUGGCUUGCUGAGAAUGAAUUCCAGGAGGACAGGAGGAAAAGCAAUAGUGUUCAUCAUAUCCAUUCUUUUUUUGGUUGUUUAUGCUAUUACUUUAUGCCUCCUGGUCCUCAUGCUAGAGUCAAAGCAUGUGAAAGACCACAAGCGGGGAUGAACUCCUUUCAUGCUGUUCUUCAUGUACCUCUGUGUGAAUGUAAUUUAGCUCAGUAUGCAAAACCUCAGCAACUUUUUUGAUAAAUAUACAACUAUUAUAUCAACAAUUUGUUUACUGUAUCAUGCUAAGUUUUAUCUUCAGUUCCACUGUCAAGAUGUGCAUUCCUUGAGUUAGUAUUCUUCUGGGUCAAGUCAUAUUAUGGAUAGUAUUGUCUUUGAGCCCUUUGUAAUGGAAAAGAUGUGUCCAGUCUGUUUUGAACACUGCAGAUGCAGGGAAAAACUUUUGCAGAUCUUAUGCAACACGGACCCAUUCAAACUUCACUGGUGUUUUUUAUUUUUUAUUACAAAAGGUCUGAGAUAAUAGCAUAUUUUUCCUGAGGAAAGACAGCCGUGUCGUCUUUACUUUUUUAGUUGCUAUGUGACUGGUUGAUCUCCUGCUACUUGUGAUUUUUCUUUUUAAACUUGUAAAGUUUCAGAUUUCAGAGGUACGUGGAUUUCAUGGGGGAGUGCAUAAAGAUAAGGUAAUAAAAGGGACUGAAUAUUUUCUGCUUUAAGUGGU